rnacentral:lncRNA from 1 species
GAGGCAAGAGAAGCACUUCGACGGGGCGCUGCCAUCGGGAGAUCAAUGCGUUAAAAUGCAGCUCAUUACAAAGAAGAAGAAAGAAAGAAAGAAAAAGAAGAGAAGAAAAGUCCCCCGCAAGGAGGAGACCAAUUUUAUUGACUGAACGUUUCUUGAAGAUAAAAGAAAGAAGAAAAAUGGCAAUAAAGGAAGAAUACAAGGUUAGAGGUCUUGGACCUCUGGAUCAGCGGGGGGACUCGGCACCUCUGGGGGG